GACGAACGCUGGCGGCGUGCUUAACACAUGCAAGUCGAGCGGUAAGGCCCCUUCGGGGGUACGACGAGCGGCGAACGGGUGAGUAACACGUGGGUGACCUGCCCUCAGCUCUGGGAUAAGCCUGGGAAACUGGGUCUAAUACCGGAUAUGACUCCAUGACGCAUGUCGUGGGGUGGAAAGCCUUGUGCGGCUGGGGAUGGGCCCGCGGCCUAUCAGCUUGUUGGUGGGGUGAUGGCCUACCAAGGCGACGACGGGUAGCCGGCCUGAGAGGGCGACCGGCCACACUGGGACUGAGACACGGCCCAGACUCCUACGGGAGGCAGCAGUGGGGAAUCUUGCGCAAUGGGCGAAAGCCUGACGCAGCGACGCCGCGUGAGGGACGACGGCCUCGGUU
rnacentral:rRNA from 1 species